GCUCAACCGGGGAGGGUCAUUGGAAACGGGGGAACUUGAGUGCAGAAGAGGAGAGUGGAAUUCCACGUGUAGCGGUGAAAUGCGUAGAGAUGUGGAGGAACACCAGUGGCGAAGGCGACUCUCUGGUCUGUAACUGACGCUGAGGCGCGAAAGCGUGGGGAGCGAACAGGAUUAGAUACCCUGGUAGUCCACGCCGUAAACGAUGAGUGCUAAGUGUUAGAGGGUUUCCGCCCUUUAGUGCUGCAGCAAACGCAUUAAGCACUCCGCCUGGGGAGUACGGUCGCAAGACUGAAACUCAAAGGAAUUGACGGGGGCCCGCACAAGCGGUGGAGCAUGUGGUUUAAUUCGAAGCAACGCGAAGAACCUUACCAGGUCUUGACAUCCUCUGACAACCCUAGAGAUAGGGCUUCCCCUUCGGGGGCAGAGUGACAGGUGGUGCAUGGUUGUCGUCAGCUCGUGUCGUGAGAUGUUGGGUUAAGUCCCGCAACGAGCGCAACCCUUGAUCUUAGUUGCCAGCAUUCAGUUGAGCACUCUAAGGUGACUGCCGGUGACAAACCGGAGGAAGGUGGGGAUGACGUCAAAUCAUCAUGCCCCUUAUGACCUGGCUACACACGUGCUACAAUGGGCAGAACAAAG
rnacentral:rRNA from 1 species